rnacentral:rRNA from 1 species
GACGGAGGAUGCAAGCGUUAUCCGGAAUGAUUGGGCGUAAAGCGUCCGCAGGUGGCAGUUCAAGUCUCCUGUCAAAGACCGGGGCUUAACUUCGGAAAGGCAGUGGAAACUGAACAGCUAGAGUAUGGUAGGGGCAGAGGGAAUUCCUGGUGUAGCGGUGAAAUGCGUAGAGAUCAGGAAGAACAUCGGUGGCGAAGGCGCUCUGCUGGACCAUAACUGACACUCAGGGACGAAAGCUAGGGGAGCGAAUGGG